AUUGAACGCUGGCGGCAUGCCUUACACAUGCAAGUCGAACGGCAGCACGGGAGCAAUCCUGGUGGCGAGUGGCGAACGGGUGAGUAAUACAUCGGAACGUGCCCAAUCGUGGGGGAUAACGCAGCGAAAGCUGUGCUAAUACCGCAUACGAUCUACGGAUGAAAGCAGGGGACCGCAAGGCCUUGCGCGAAUGGAGCGGCCGAUGGCAGAUUAGGUAGUUGGUGGGGUAAAGGCUCACCAAGCCAACGAUCUGUAGCUGGUCUGAGAGGACGACCAGCCACACUGGGACUGAGACACGGCCCAGACUCCUACGGGAGGCAGCAGUGGGGAAUUUUGGACAAUGGGCGCAAGCCUGAUCCAGCCAUGCCGCGUGCAGGAUGAAGGCCUUCGGGUUGUAAACUGCUUUUGUACGGAACGAAACGGCCUUUUCUAAUAAAGAGGGCUAAUGAUGGUACCGUAAGAAUAAGCACCGGCUAACUACGUG
rnacentral:rRNA from 1 species